CUCACCACACCUCACCUCACCACACCACACCUCACACCACACCACACCACACCACACCACAUCACACCUCACCUCGCUGCCCGCACACGACGCAGGCUGCCCGCCUCCUGGAGAGCACACUUCAGCUGAAACAGUAAAGCCUGAUGGGUGCAAAUGGAACCUGGACGUGUGCAUGUGUGUCCCAGGCAGGGACGGCACAGGAGGGUGCAUGGGGCGUGGGGAGCUGAGCCAGGGUCGCUCACUCAGAAAUGUCUUUGGAAUGGUAUUUAACUAAUGCUGCUGGCAGACAUCCUAAAACCAGAUGCAUCCUCAGAAGAUGAGUCUACUAAUUAUUGCCUUUUUUGUUUGUUGUAUUACAAACCUGCAUAAAAUACCUCAUUUCAAAUCAAAUCUUACAAAUUUAGAAGAGAGAUGUAUUUUCCGAAAAUAGUGGAAGGCCUUUGUUCCUUCCCGGGUUUGUCCUGAGCCUGCACUGUCCUCGCCUGCAGCCUCGGAGGGACGGGCAUCCCCACGCAGACUUGACCGGCAGGGCGGGCCCGGGACCUGCGGGCUGGCUCCGAGUGGCAGCGCAUGCCUGCUGCAGAGUAUGGGUUGACACUCGACAAGUUGAAAUCAGUGCCUCUAUGGAUGGCUGCCCCUUCAGACAAUGGGCAGUGCCCACCCCGCCCACUGGCAUCUGCGUGGGAGGGUUAGGCCGCCCUACCACACAUCCCGCCCCCUCCCGGAGGCAGCUGCAGGACAGGACACCAGGCUAGCUGCUUUUUUUAGACUGCCUCUGGCCCAGGCCCAGUCCUCGGUGUCAGGGAGCCCCCAGGCCACAGGUGGAGGGUGAUAAAUUAUGUUCCCUGACAGGACCCAGCCAGCUACAUAGGUGGAGGUUUUCCAUGUCCAAAUGAGGUCAAGAUGCCGAAAUCCCAGAUCUGACUUCUCACUUCCCUUUUCUAGAACCUUUUGUAAAAGUUGGUGGCAGCAGAGGCAGCCCCAGGCCGGGCUGCACCUCUCUGUGUCUGUUGUGCCUUGCCCGGCGCCUCACGGAUGGCAAAGCUCUCCUCACCCACGGGACUGUAGUGCAAUUAAACCCGCGUCUAGGUGAUGCUUUUAAACUUGUAGCUUCGUGCUUUGUACAGUUUUCUUUCUGGUUUUAAUUUUUAGUUGUGCUUUGAGUCAGUGCAAUAAACUAGACUUUUUCCAAA